GAUGAACGCUAGCGGCAGGCUUAAUACAUGCAAGUCGAGGGACAGCACAGGUAGCAAUACUGGGUGGUAACCGGCAAACGGGUGCGGAACACGUACACAACCUUCCUUUAAGUGGGGGAUAGCCCAGAGAAAUUUGGAUUAAUACCCCGUAAUAUAGUUGAAUGGCAUCAUUUGAUUAUUAUAGCUACGGCGCUCAAUGAUGGGUGUGCGGCUGAUUAGGUAGUUGGCGGGGUAACGGCCCACCAAGUCUACGAUCAGUAGCUGAUGUGAGAGCAUGAUCAGCCACACGGGCACUGAGACACGGGCCCGACUCCUACGGGAGGCAGCAGUAAGGAAUAUUGGUCAAUGGACGCAAGUCUGAACCAGCCAUGCCGCGUGAAGGAUUAAGGUCCUCUGGAUUGUAAGCUUCUUUUAUUUGGGACGAAAAAGGGCCUUUCUAGGUCAACUGACGGUACCAGAUGAAUAAGCACCGGCUAACUCCGUGCCAGCCGCCGCCGUAACAC
rnacentral:rRNA from 1 species